AUGUUACAAUCUAAAGUUCUGAACCACUGUGUGCAGUUCACCGCAGUUUGUGGCUACAACUCGCAGCUAGCGAGCGCCAACGCCUCACUUGCCGGGGACAAAGUUUGUGGCAAACGCCCAUGCGUUGUUGUUGACAGGGUCGGAGAGGUGGUCGGCGAGGUUCUCGAGUGGGCCCUUGCCCGUGACGAUGGCCUGCACAAAGAAGCCAAACAUAGAGAACAUGGCGAGGCGGCCAUUCUUGACUUCCUUCACCUUGAGCUCCGCGAAUGCCUCGGGGUCAUCGGCCAGGCCCAGUGGGUCGAAGCUGCCGCCGGGGUAGAGUGGGUCGACUAUCUCACCGAGUGGGCCGCCGGCAACGCGGUACCCCUCAACGGCGCCCAUGAGCACGACUUGGCAUGCCCAGAUAGCAAGGAUGCUCUGUGCAUGCACGAGGCUGGGAUUGCCGAGGUAGUCAAGGCCACCCUCGCUGAAGAUCUGAGAACCGGCCUUGAACCAUACGGCCUCGCCAAACUUGACGCCGUUGCGUGCAAGAAGCUCGGGGAAGACGCAUCCCAGUGCACCGAGCAUAGCCCACCGGCAGUGGAUCACCUCGAGCUCCCGGUUCUUGGCAAAGGUCACGGGGUCGGCUGA
rnacentral:rRNA from 1 species